rnacentral:rRNA from 1 species
UACGUAGGUGGCAAGCGUUGUCCGGAUUUACUGGGCGUAAAGAGCGCGCAGGCGGUCGUUCAAGUCGCGUGUGAAAGCCCCCGGCUCAACUGGGGAGGGUCAUUCGAUACUGAUCGACUGGAAGGCAGGAGAGGGAAGCGGAAUUCCCGGUGUAGUGGUGAAAUGCGCAGAUAUCAGGAGGAACACCGGUGGCGAAGGCGGGUCUCUGGGCCGAUACUGACGCUGAGGAGCGAAAGCGUGGGGAGCGAACAGG